rnacentral:rRNA from 1 species
GACGUAGGAGGCGAGCGUUGUCCGGAUUCAUUGGGCGUAAAGAGCGCGCAGGCGGCUUGGUAAGUCGGAUGUGAAAUCCCGAGGCUCAAUCUCGGGUCUGCAUCCGAUACUGCCCGGCUAGAGGUAGGUAGGGGAGAUCGGAAUUCCUGGUGUAGCGGUGAAAUGCGCAGAUAUCAGGAGGAACACCGGUGGCGAAGGCGGAUCUCUGGGCCUUACCUGACGCUCAGGCGCGAAAGCUAGGGGAGCGAACUGG